UACAGAGGUCUCAAGCGUUGUUCGGAUUCCUUGGGCGUAAAGGGUGUGUAGGUGGCGCCGUAAGUCGGGUGUGAAAUCUCGGGGCUUAACUCCGAAACUGCAUUCGAUACUGCGGUGCUUGAGGACUGGAGAGGAGACUGGAAUUCAUGGUGUAGCAGUGAAAUGCGUAGAGAUCAUGAGGAAGACCAGUGGCGAAGGCGGGUCUCUGGACAGUUCCUGACACUGAGACACGAAGGCCAGGGGAGCAAACGGG
rnacentral:rRNA from 1 species